UGAGUUAUCAUUGGUCUUGUG
rnacentral:miRNA from 1 species